ensembl:lncRNA
UUGGCCUCAACAAGAACCAUGGAAUGAGAUAAGAUGUUUUCUCCUUUCUUUUAAUGUGUGGACUGCAUUGGCGCCCCAUUAGAAAGGCAUUUCAAAUAUCCAUUAAUGAUUUAAUUGACUAAGUUGCAUUCUUCCCUGACUACCAUAUUGGGUUUAUCUGUGCAGAACUUCCUGCUAUUAUCUUAAGUCUCUGGCAGCUUAAUGAAGGCUGUAUGUCAGCAAACACUAUUUUUUAAAAAUUGGAGGAUAAACUUACAAGGAGUAACUGCUCCUUUAGAUCUUAGAGGUCACUCAUGCCCCAACUUGACUUGAAUGUCUGAACCAGCUGCUUCAAGAAGUCCACGUGGCUCAGGGCUGUAAAAUCAUGUUCACGUGGAACAUUCCUCUUGGGGCUUGAAAUACAAUCUGGUUAACAGACUUACAUCUUCGUGUCCUAGGUACCCAUCAAAAUACCCAACACGAAAAUUUUUGUGCUAAAUAUUUUCAAAUCUAUAUCAUAUCGAAUUUCUAUAGGAAAGUCAGUGUUUUGUUUUUUCUCUUAAAAAGGAACGGUCACUUCCAGUCUGCAGUGAUAUACCUGAAGUCUUAGACCUGUGUUUUCUGGGAGCUGUAACUGGAAUUCUCUAUAAGCCAAUUAAACUCCUUUUGACGAGUUCAGGGGAAUCAGCGUGUUUGUGUUGGCUUGCCGGGCCUUCAAGGCUCACAGACUUAGCCAGCUCAGGCACAGUUCGGCAGCCAGAGAAGGCAUUAGUCUCCCCCACAUAUCUACCCUGCAGGCUUCAUGGUGAAGAGCAAUGCCAGGGAGUUCAAGUGAUUACUUGCUUUAGGGAAACAAAAGCCAACAACCCAAGAAUCAACGUCCCCAAGAAAAGGUCAAUAGGCCUCAGUGCUGUAAUGGAUGUAACAAAUAUUUAAAUAAGGAUAAUAUAAAAAUGUGUUUGCUCAUUGAUUUAUUUCCAAUGACUUGGCUUUCACUCCACUGAGUGGUUCACAAAUUCAAACUUGAUUUCUGCUGACACGUUAGCCACACCGCUUCUCUUUUCCUUCCUUCCAUCUGCCUUUCAAUCACAUUUCACAGUCCCUUCCAAAAGGACCACAAAGUAUAGCACCAGCGAUAUUCUCAGUCUAUCAAAUGACUACAUAUUAAGUGGCUUUGUAAAGCAGUGAACCUGAGCCAAGUUUCUGUACAAUGCCGAGGAAAAGCCAGGGCUCUGGAGAGACUGGUCCAGGCCACAGGGAAUGGCCAGGCCCACUUCAAUCCUAACCAUCAGAGUAGCUUCUUCCCUUCCCAAAGCUUGAGUCCUACGGGAGGAAGAAGACGAGGAUCUCCUUGAAUUUAGAAUUGCAAUACGUCUCAGCUGGAAGGGCCCCAAGAGAUCCCCUAGUUUAGCCCAAGGAAGCAAAGUUUGGGCCACUAUAAAGAGAACUGCCCAAGAUCCUCAACUGAUAUACAGGGGAAAACAAGAGAGGAAGAAUACUGGCCUUCAGGAUGCUGCCCGCUUCUCCCUUCUGCCCACCCAGCAGCAUGCAAGCAAGCAUGCUUCAACUUAAUCAUAAGUGAACCUCAAACCACAGCUGAGGAUUGUUUUGAUUCUUGCUUGGAAAUAAUCCCAGUGCCUUCUUGGGUGGAAUGAAGUAUGUGAGGUGGGAGAAGAGGUCCCAGGCGGGAUUAUCUGCUACACAGACUGAUCUUUGUACCCACUUCCAUGUGCAUUCCCAUGCGCUCUGUCUUCGAAAGCCAUGGGGUGCUAGUGGUUCUCUCCCAACAUUUUUUCAUGAAAAUUUCCCGUGGGCACUCCAGCACCAUGUCAAGAUCAUUGACUGUAGACUCGUCACUACACCCACUGGUCUCUCAAAGAGGACAGAAAAAGCUACAGCCUUUCACUACAGUUCUUCUUUCAACUCAGCCCAUCACCCCAGCCUGAUCAUGAGAAAAACAACAGACAAAUCCCAAUGGAGGGACAUUCUACAAAACAGCUGACGAGUACCCUUCAAAACUGUCAAGGUCAUCAAAAACAAGGAAAGUCUGAGAAACUGUCACAGCCAAGAGGAGCUUAAGGAGGCAUGACAAGAUGUAAUGUGGGAUCCCAGAUGGAAUUCCGGAAUGGAAAAAGAACGUCAGAUAAACACAAAGGAAAUCUCAAUAAAAUAUGGACUUGUUUAAUAGUAAUAUAUCAGUAUUGACUCAUUCAUUGUGUCAAAUGUACCACACUGGUGCAAGAUGUUAAUAGUAGGGGAAACUGGGUGUGGAGUAU